rnacentral:rRNA from 1 species
GACAGAGGGUGCAAACGUUGCUCGGAAUCACUGGGCGUAAAGGGCGUGUAGGCGGGACAGUAAGUCGGGCGUGAAAUCCCUGGGCUCAACCCAGGAACUGCACUCGAAACUACUAUUCUUGAGUGUCGGAGAGGAAAGCGGAAUUCCUGGUGUAGAGGUGAAAUCGUAGAUAUCAGGAGGAACACCAGUGGCGAAGGCGGCUUUCUGGA